rnacentral:lncRNA from 1 species
AGCACCAGUGUUACUACUCAUUUUGAAAAACAGUGAGACGCUUACUUGCUAUUUCGGAAUUGACCAAAAAGCUAUAAAAUAACGUAGCGAAAUGACCGUAUUUAUAGAAUUAGACUUUUGUUUUCAUUUUUAAUUGUUUACACUAGUCAUUUUAGGGACCGUUAUAGCUUGCUGUUCGAUGAGGGCCAAAGCUCCGUGUUGAGGUCGUACUUUUGACCUCUUAUUAAAUUAUACCAUGUGACUUGAAUGAUGGAGAGUUGUUUCAUUGACACACAUACCACAUCUUCUUAUUUAUAUUAACUGGGAGCAGUUUACAAC